rnacentral:rRNA from 1 species
AGCAGCCGCGGUAAUUCCAGCUCCAAUAGCGUAUAUUAAAGUUGUUGCAGUUAAAAAGCUCGUAGUUGAAUUUCGGGAUCAAUUAAUUGGUCGUGCCUCUGGUACGUACUGAUUUUAUUGGUUUCUCCCUUCUGACGAACCAUGAUGUCAUUAAUUUGGUGUCGUGGAGAAUCAGGACUGUUACUUUGAAAAAUUAGAGUGUUUAAAGCAAGCUAACGCUUGAAUACAUUAGCAUGGAAUAAUGAAAUAGGACGUUUGAUCCUAUUUUGUUGGUUUCUAGGAUCGACGUAAUGAUUAAUAGGGAUAGUUGGGGGCAUUAGUAUUCAAUUGUCAGAGGUGAAAUUCUUGGGUUUAUUGAAGACUAACUACUGCGAAAGCAUUUGCCAAGGAUGUUUUCAUUAAUCAAAGAACGAAAGUUAGGGGAAUCGAAGACGAUCAGAUACCGUCGUAGUCUUAACCAUAAACUAUGCGACUAGGGAUCGGAUGAUGUUAAUUUUUAAUGUACUCUA